AGGGGGAUUGCCCCAGUAACGGCGAGUGAAGCGGCAACAGCUCAAAUUUGAAAUCUGGCCCCAGGCCCGAGUUGUAAUUUGUAGAGGAUGCUUUUGGUGCGGUGCCUUCCGAGUUCCCUGGAACGGGACGCCAUAGAGGGUGAGAGCCCCGUACGGUCGCGCGCUAAGCCUCUGUAAAGCUCCUUCGACGAGUCGAGUAGUUUGGGAAUGCUGCUCAAAAUGGGAGGUAUACGUCUUCUAAAGCUAAAUAUUGGCCAGAGACCGAUAGCGCACAAGUAGAGUGAUCGAAAGAUGAAAAGCACUUUGAAAAGAGGGUUAAACAGUACGUGAAAUUGUUGAAAGGGAAGCGCUCAUGACCAGACUUGGGCCCGGCGAAUCAUCCAGCGUUCUCGCUGGUGCACUUCGCCGGCUCAGGCCAGCAUCAGUUUGCUCCGGGGGACAAAGGCUUCGGGAAUGUGGCUCCCUCGGGAGUGUUAUAGCCCGUUGCGUAAUGCCCUGGGGCGGACUGAGGUACGCGCUCCGCAAGGAUGCUGGCGUAAUGGUCAUCAGCGACCCGUCUUGAAACACGGACCAAGGAGUCGUCUUCGUAUGCGAGUGUUCGGGUGUCAAACCCCUACGCGUAAUGAAAGUGAACGCAGGUGAGAGCUUCGGCGCAUCACCGACCGAUCCUGAUGUUCUCGGAUGGAUUUGAGUAAGAGCAUACGGGGCCGGACCCGAAAGAAGGUGAACUAUGCCUGUAUAGGGUGAAGCCAGAGGAAACUCUGGUGGAGGCUCGCAGCGGUUCUGACGUGCAAAUCGAUCGUCAAAUAUGGGCAUGGGGGCGAAAGACUAAUCGAACCUUCUAGUAGCUGGUUUCCGCCGAAUUUUCCC
rnacentral:rRNA from 1 species